rnacentral:tRNA from 1 species
GGGAAUGUGGCUUAGUGGUAGAGCGCUUAUUUAGCAUGCAUGAAGCCCUAGGUUCAAUUCCUCAGUACCA